rnacentral:rRNA from 1 species
GAUGAACGCUGGCGGCGUGCUUAACACAUGCAAGUCGAACGGAAAGGCUCCUGCUUGCAGGGGUACUCGAGUGGCGAACGGGUGAGUAACACGUGGGUGAUCUGCCCUGCACUUCGGGAUAGGCCUGGGAAACUGGGUCUAAUACCGGAUAGGACCACAUUUUGGAUGGUGUGGUGGAAAGUUUUUCGGUGUGGGAUGAGCUCGCGGCCUAUCAGCUUGUUGGUGGGGUAAUGGCCUACCAAGGCGUCGACGGGUAGCCGGCCUGAGAGGGUGUACGGCCACAUUGGGACUGAGACACGGCCCAGACCUCUACGGGGGGCAACCGGGGGGAAUAGUGCAAAAGGGGGGCAAGCCUGGUGCAGCGGCGCCGGGGGGGGGAUGACGGCCUUCGGGUUGUAAACCCCUUUCGCUGGGGACGAAGCGCAAGGGACGGUACCGGGAAAAAAAGCACCGGCUAACUACGU